UACGUAGGGGGCGAGCGUUGUCCGGAAUUAUUGGGCGUAAAGGGCUCGUAGGCGGUUUGUCGCGUCGGGAGUGAAAACACCGGGCUUAACUCGGUGCUUGCUUUCGAUACGGGCAGACUUGAGGCAUGCAGGGGAGAACGGAAUUCCUGGUGUAGCGGUGAAAUGCGCAGAUAUCAGGAGGAACACCGGUGGCGAAGGCGGUUCUCUGGGCAUGUUCUGACGCUGAGGAGCGAAAGUGUGGGGAGCGAACAGG
rnacentral:rRNA from 1 species